AGACACAGCCAAGAGCCAGAGCUGCGCCUCCUCAUCUCCAGCCCACCCGCCUGCCUGCCCGCCCAUCCUGGCACCUGUGUGCCAAGCCACUGCACCCAGGAAGACCCCACCACUCCGGGCAAAACCCGGGUUCGGAGCCCCGGAGCCUCGGGCACCCCCCCAAGACCAGUCGGUCUGCGCGCUCUGGACAGCGGGACGACCUACAGCCAGCUGCCCACCGGGGCCACUUCGGGCGGGCACAGUGGCCCGCAGUCCGGGGAAGCCCCUGGCCCGGCCCCUUGGAUCGGAUCCCCUGACGAAGCCGGGGUCCCCGGGGAUCCUCGCCUGGCCGAGGAGUUGGAAGCGUCUCCUCCACCCAGGAUUUUAUUGUGUGUGGAGCCUGCUAGGAUUGGGGAAGGAGCUGAGCCUUUGCCACCGCUGCUGCUGCUGCUGCUGCGGUCGCUAGCGGGGCGCGGGGCCGGCGGGGACCGGGGGUGGCUGCGCUCCUGCCUCCCGCUCCAGCAGCUCCAGGGGCUCCCCACGGCCGCUCCCCGCCGCCCGGACCUCUCCCUCCGUGCCCCCCCCCCCCAGGGCACCGCCAACAUGGUCUAAGGAGCCACCUGCCUGGGAUCCCCCUGGCCGCCUCUGCCGCCUCCUCCCAUCUAUCUCCCCCUUGGCUGCCGCCUCCGAGAACCCACGCUCCCCACUCCACUGCGGACCCCAAAUUCUACUUUCAGGAAUAACCCGCCGCUGCUGCUGCUGCUGCACGAUUCUUUUCUCUCUCUUCGGAACCUCAUGGGCAGCUUCUCCUCCCACCGGCGAUAAUGGAGAACCUAAUAAGGGGAAGGAAUGCCCCACAAUAUCAGAGAAGUCCUUAUAAAGAAGUCGUGCAGCUCUUCGGAAGAGGCCUGAAGAAGAGUGAACCCGCCACAUGAAAAAAAAUGCAAGUCAAAG